GAUUGAGUCGUUUACAUGACUUCUAAACACUACAAUACUAUAUUAAGUUUAAAAUGAAAUAGUUGUAUGUUGAAGUUAGUAUAUAUAAGUAUAUUGAAUUUGGGGCGAGGUUUAGGCUGAAUUAUAACUUCAUAAGCGUUUAUUACCAAAAACAAAACAGAAACACAGAAUUAAAAAAAUACAUUGCUGAAUCACUCUUAACAAUUGCUAUCUUUCUUUUAUCUAAUUUGAGGAAUUAGAACAUACUGCUUUUAGCUAUAAUAGCUGUAUAUGUUUCAGCUUAUAAAAACAAAAGAAUAGCAGCACAAAUGAAGUACGCACUAGAGAGUUCAACUCAAUAGUAAAAUUAACGAUAAGGCCGCCAGUUGCUCUCCUUUUUAUUUAAUUAUGUCAAUUGUACUAUAUUAAUAUAUAUGCAACGAAGUGUUAAUAAAGAAAAUAUAUCAUAUUUAGGACCCAUAACAACUCAUGGAGUAAAACACAAAGUUGUACUUCAAAACACACGCAAAUGAGGUUUUGGUAUAAAUAGAGGUGUGGAGCGAGCCGUGUGCUUUUCCAGCCGAUUAACCGGAGCCCUGAUACCUGGGUAUUGAUCGUGGUUACACGCUUGGUGUAGGCACUUGCACGACAGAAAUAGUUCUUUAGGCCUAUGUUCAUGGACCCGAAACAAUUUGUUACACGAAUAAGUACGAUCGUCGCAAAAGGUUUUCGAGUGCCCAGUUAUGCUGUGCAAUUAAAGAUAGUUUGUGCGUGUACUAGAAUUCAACUAAUAAAUAUCAUCAUUUGUGUUGUCA